CUUAGACCCCAUUUAAAGGCUGACUGCCACUAGAGAAGGGUUUCUUUCUGGAGGUCCCUCCUUGGUGAAGUUUUCCCUUUGAACCUGGAAUCUUAUGAUAUGGGUGAGGUUAAAAUCACAGGACAAGAAGAGCAUGCUCCAAAAAUAAAAGCAGACUUUGGCUUAUGCUGUCCAGCGAAUUGCCAUAUGAAAGCAGGAGGAUUUCGGGCUCUGUGUACUUUGGAAGCACUGCAAGAGAGAGAGGAGAAAUUCUGGAUGGAGGCCCAAUGUAUGGCAACAGAGCAGGAGAUGGAAGUGAUAAGAGGAAUACAUGCGGUGGGUCCCUACUGGGAGAAGAAGUUGUAGCUGAUUUUGUGCAUGUAAAAGAGUGCAGGCUUAAGUGGCUCUGGCUUUCCAGAGGGCACCUGCCUGCAGUGUCGGCAGUUCUUCCUGCACUUGAACCUGAACACAAGGCUUUACAUUGGAAUGGCUGUGAGAUUUCUCCUUCCUUCCUGCUAAUCUGUGUCUGCUAUUUCUGUGGAAAUGAAAGUACCUGAAACAAACCAAACGUUGGCCCCUACCCUGACAAAAUCAAAUUACUGUAAUGAAAUAGAAUUUUACAUCAUGAAUCACUAGCACCUAUCAGACCAUAACAUUGCAGCAGGCUGCUAAUGAGGCACUGCUGUUCAUCACCUGGUGUAAGUAUGCAGCUUCUUCAGUUAGAGAUUACUUCUAGAGAUGCCACUGUGAUCUCAGAAGCCCUUCAAGGAGCACCACCAUACAUAGGGGUCAAUUCACAAACAGGCAAAACAAAGCUGGGCUGUUUGCAUGCUGCAGUAACAUGUCCACAGUGCUCCUCUGUGUUCACAGAGAGUACAACAUGGGGCACAACUGGAAGCUGUGUUUAUGAGAG
ensembl:lncRNA